ensembl:lncRNA
UAGGUCCCCAUUUUUCCGCCAACACAGCCAUGACCCAUCGAGGCAUGGACUCCACUAGACCUCUCUGAAGGUGUGCUCUGGUAUCUGGCACAGAGACAUUAGCAGCAGAUCCUUCAAGUCCUGUAAGUUGCAAGGUCCUAAUGGCUGCAGGGGUUGGAACAAAUGUGAACUUGGGACAGAAGACGCUCACAAUGGUGGGUAAGGGCCACCAAGAAUGGAGCCUCUCAUCUAGAAAAGGCUGCAGAAAAGACCAUUAGAGGACCUUUUCUAAAGGAAAGAAUAAAACAAAUCGAGGAGGAAAGAAUAAAAAAAAGAGGUGCUGCUCAGCGCAUCAGAGGGAAGUGAGGAGAACUGCAGCCUCAUCCACCCUGGUUAAAUCCUGCAUUGAAAAAUGCCUGUUGUUUAUGACAAUUGUUCUGUAUUUACCUGCAUCCACCAGAACACACUGAACGAGCAGAUGUGUAGCGAC